GAACUCCUGGUGAUCCUCCUGCCUCCGCCUCCUGAGGGCUGGCAUCACAGGCUAUCCUAUUUAAAAUUACUUUCAAAGUUCUUCAUGAGCAUUCCCUGGGAAUAUUUUAUGUUCUUAUGUCAUAAUCAUCAAAUCCUCACACCGUAACGAUGAAUUUUAUUUCUGGAAUUGUUCAAAUGCCAUAUAUAAGAGUGGGUGAUCAAUACCUGGUGUUGUUUUAAGGUAACCCUUAAAAUUCAAUCUUAUUAUAUUGAAAAUACGUAUAUACAUUUUCUCUGAGCACAUCCCUCUAACCCCUGUGACACACAUCAGUUCCUACGAAUCCUUUCCUUCCCUCUGCACCACGGCAGCUUCUUGUAUCUCAGUCUAGUGCCGGAUCUACUCAUUUCCAUCCGUCUAUUCUUCUUCCAUUCACUGGAAUAGGCACAUCCCAUAAUAAAAUUAAUUCUGAGGGGUCUCUUGUUGUAUGAAAAAUUACCACAGACAUUUUUACUGUAUGUUUAGUUUGAAAAUAUGUUUUGGGGAACAUUCCAUGUUAAUAUAACAUAAUUCUCAAUCCUGAUAUUCCAUAGUCAGUUUAGCGUCUUCCCCACCAAAUGAGAUCGGGUCUCUUCAAUACUGUGAAAAACUCAAAAACUAACACCGGUACUCAGUGUACAUUCACAGGGAGGACAGGUAAACAGUCUAUGAAUAUUCCUGAACCUGUGUCUCAGUCUCAGUUUGUAAAGGAGGUGUUGAUGUCAGGUAGCCAACAGAACCGGAGUGGCACUGAAGGAACUGACAGAGUGAAAGUAGGCUCUCCGGAACUCGUGCGGAAUGCCGUGAGUUUCCCUGGUGAGUCUUUUGUCUUGGCACCCGGGAGAGCUGGCUGUGGCUUACCCGCACUGUUGUCUUUACACACAGGAGUAUCCUGUCUUGACCCAAGGCAUAUUUCUCGCCUGAAGGCGUGCGUCCGGCCGUCUCUUACAGACGACUUCCCCUUUCUCGGGUCCUGAGGUGAGCUAGUCCCGCAUUCUCCAACACCUUCCCACAGCACCCAGGGGCUCCCACCACCAGGAUCUGCACCCAGCUCCUUCAUCAUUAUUCAGGGCAGAGUCCAUUUGCUGAGGAAAUCCUUCCACUCACUUACAGCGCUGUGAAGAAUCUACGCUUUGACACUAAUUCUUAGAUUGUGAGAAAUUUACUUCACAUUGAGCCCCUGAAAAAGAAUACUACACUAAUGGCACCUACUCCAUAGUCCUGUGGAGAACAGCACAGGGCAUGUUGAAACACUGGGGAGAGAAGGCCGGGAAAUUGUCAUCUCUACAGUGUUAGCGGCAUAACGAUCCUUUCCUAAUGAACAUCCUUCAUUUCUACACCUAGGUGACUGAUUCCUGCCAGCACCACUGACCAACUUCCAUCUCUGGUCAGAGGGUCUCUGACCCCGGUGGGCAGGGCCCCUCAGGGCCUUCCCCCCUUGAUCCUCCGUUUGUGGAGCCCUCCUGAGGGUGCAGUUUGUCAUCAACUGCUUAAGGAGGCUGAUUUCUGCCAGCACCACUGACCAACAUCCAUCUCUGGUCAGAGGGUCUCUGACCCUGGUGGGCAGCACCCCUCAAGGCCUUCACCCCUUAAUCCCUGCUGUCUGUGGUGUCCUUCUGAGGGUGCAGUUUUAUCAUCUUCUAUUUAAGAGCCUGAUUCCUGCCAGCACCACUGACCAACUUCCAUCUCUAGGUCAGAGGGUCUCUGACCCUGGUGGGCAGGGCCCUCAGGGCCUUCACCCCUUGAAUCCUCGUGUUUGUGGAGGGUGUACUUUUUGUCAUCCUCUCUUGGAGGUCGGAGUAACAUCCCUUGGACCGGCCACAUUUCCUGCCUGAAGGCAGGAGAACCAACUUUUUCUUGUUGACUUUCUACUUCUCAUCUACUGAGGAAUUUUUGUAGACACCAUCACUGAUCGAUAUCACCUAGGGAUCAGAAGAACUCUGAGCCUCCUGGGCGAGGCCCCUUGUGGCCUUCACCUGGGAUUGUUUUACGUGUGCAGCUUUUUCACCAACUGCUUCAGUCUAAAGCAAGACUUGAACAACCCAAUUUCUCAAAUCCGGAGCCGGGAUUUACACCUAGUCUGUUUAUAAACAGCACCCUCGGAAG